ensembl:processed_transcript
AGCUUGUAGACAGCUUAGAUGGGACAACGACCAGGGACAGUGAAGAGGAAUAUCAGUCAGCUGGCUCCCACUGCUACAGCCCGCAGCCACACAGCUGGAAUACCCUCACCCUGGGCAGGGACUGCAGGCUCUCAGUCAGGGGCUGAAGGGCGGCCACGUGCUAGCCAUUGCAAACGCUCAGGGUACAUCCCUGCUGACCUUGCCCAAGACCAUGGAGAGGCAGCUGAGUCCUCAGUUUGAGGAAGACAGGAUAAGAGCCUGCUCCCGCUGGGAGAGCUGCUAGCGGCCAGUGAGAUGGAGAGGCCCGAGGAGGUCGCUGAUCAAUGGAUCACAGACCCUCAAGCUCGGCAGUGGUGGCCCAGGACUUUAAUUCUAGGACUCAGAAGGCAGAGGCAGGCAGAGUUCCAGGCCAACCUGGUGGUCUCCAGAGCAACAGGACAGCCGGGAGUAUGCAGUGAAACCCAACCUCGAAAAGACGAACAAACAAACAAAAAAAAAUUAUCAUAGAUUCUCCAGAACUCUGCCGCUUGACACCAUCGGUAAGCACUGGCUGAAGUCCUCUUGUCUGGAGAAUCUUUUAUCAUUUUGACAGACAGAAGCUUGGCUGGGAUUACAAAACUAGGUACAGAGAGCCUCAGACACUCCACACGUCGACAUGUGCUUUUUGUUCCAAGAAAUAAGAUCUCGGGUUCAAUUCCCACCCAAGACCCUGCGCCAAGCCAUACACUAAGUCCUGAGAGGUCCUGGGCCCCUUGUCUAAAGGAACCCGAGAGCAACUGGUCCUGAAAACACGCAGGCUGCUCGCCCCAGCCACAACUUCCCCACAUCCACCCCACCCUGUACUUCUCCCGUUACAGUCCUCCUCCAUGGCUCCCCACUUCCAAGCUCCCGGUUCAGGCACCUCUCCCACCCCACUCCUGUCUACCCAUUCUGCCGCCCGCCCGUUAGAGCCCCGCGUCCUCCGUCCCAAGGAGGUCCAUCCGCCUCCGUCCCUCUGGGUCCCGGGCAGCGGAACCCGAGGCACAGAGGAAGGACGCCAAGCCGGAAAGGCUGCGCGCCAGUGGUCCACCCGGAAGUGCGCCCCCCAUCAGGUCCCCCCCAGAGCCCCCAGCGCCGGCCGGCCACGCACCCACCUGUCCGAGUGUGGCUGCAGCCAUGAUCCCGUGCGUGCGGCCGGCGACUGUGCCCGCCUGGGGCGCGGCUGGUGGAAGGCAUUCGGGCCCCGCCCUGCUCACGCCCCCUCCCGCAGAUGGCUGCUUUCCGCGAGCCUCACUUCUGCCAGGCCUUCCUUAGAAGUUCUAGGGACCUCAGGGACCCAGGCUCUGCUGUGAAGAUCGUGCGCGGGAACAGUCCCGACCUGCCGCACCCUCUCUCCCUCCUCGCCUCCACCCUGCCCGGCUCUACCCCAGCCACACUCACGCCCAGCUAGGCAUUUACCUUGGCUUUUGUUUGGCAUCUGAGUACGGAACCCGUGGCCUCGUGAAUGUUUGGGAAGCGCCCUAACCACUGAGGACAGAUCCAGACCUCUACAUUUGGUAUAUGUCGCCGGGCAUGGCAGCACACGUCUGAACCUCAGCGUUUGGGACACAGACAGGUGGCAGGAUCUCUGGGAGUUCAAAGCCAGUCUGAGCCGCCUAAUUAGUUCCAGGUCAGCCAGGGCUGUCUGGUAAGACCCUGCCUUAAAACAAAAGGAGGUUGGAAAGAGGGCGCGCCAGUUAAAAAUACUGGGCUGCUCGACCAGAGGACUGGGCUCGGUUCCUAGCACCCACAUAGCUCCUAACUGCCUGUAACUCCAUUUCCAAGGGAUACUGCGCCCUUUUGAUUUCCACAGGCACCAGGCAUGCACAUGAUACACUAACAUACAUGCAAGCAAUACACAUACACAAAAACUAAUUUUUUUCUUUCUCUUAUUUAUUUAUUUAUUUAGAGACCGUUUCUCUGUGUAGUCCAGGCUGUCCUAGAACUAGCUCAGUAAACCAGGCUGUCCUCAAACUACAGAGAUUCUCCUGCCUCUGCCUCCCAAGCUGGAAUUAAAGGUGUGCCACCACUGCUUGCUAUAAAAUGAUUUUCUAAAAAUAAAGCAACAACAACAAUGCAUUUUCGCGGGAACUGUCAUCAGUGGCAAAGCAAGGGUCAGACAGCUUUGCUAAAAAGGAACAGCUGGGGGCUGGGGAGAUGGCUCA